UGAAGCCCCUGCAUGUCCACCAGUGCUGCGCGCCUGUUCCUGUCUUUUCUGUUUGCGCAAAUGUAUUUUCUUUCAGGCACAGUUUUGCAAGCACCAUCCAAUUUAAAUCUUACCCAGGGAGUGCGCAAAUUCAAUGCUCUUGGAAGAGAUUAUACACCAUAAACUGGUUAAAAAAUGGAGAAAAAAUUAUGGAGGAUAUGAAGAGGAUACAGAUCUCAAUUCAAAUGCCCUGGUCAUCCUUAACGUAUCUAGAGAUGAUUCAGGUUUAUUUGUCUGCAAAGUGUACCAAGACAUUCCCGUCCUCCAUGUGUUUUCUGGAGCUGGAACACAAUUAACAGUGAAUUCAAAAGCUAAUGCCACCACAAUGACAAAACCAGAGGAAUAUGAAAACCUAGGGUUUUCCCCUUCAGUAAUAGUGCGUAUGGCUGUUGUAGUUGGUCUAUUUUUGACAUGUGUUCCUCUGAGUAUCUGGGGAAUAAAAAAGAUAGGCCAGCGACUGGAAGGGUUCGAAGGGCCUGGGCACACCACUGAGGUGAACAUGGAGAGGUUGAGUUCUGCUCCUCCAGAAGUGUAAUAGUUCUUGGCAGUGGACACGCAUUCUGGUCAAACCUAUUACUCACACCGCCUAAGAAUGAGAAUUACACCUCUAACUGAAGAUUUGGGCUGGUGGUUUGUCUAAGAGCAAACUCAACUCAACACAUAAUCUAUUUUUGUCUCGAUGUACUGUAUGUGUCAAGCUCCUGUGCAUGAAACUUACUUUGACCAUUGGUGGGAUGAGGAUGAAAGUCGAAAAAGAUCCACAAUCAAAGAAGAAAAAUGGCAUUCAUAAUUUAGUUUUUUGCCAUCUUUUCUAUUAUUUAAUUGAAAUGUAUUGUUUUCCUCUUCAUAAAUAUUUUUAAUGUUAAAACAUCAUAAACGUAAAAACAUGUUGCUUCGAGUUUAAUUUGUACUCAACAAAUAAUCUAUCUUUCUGCUUCUGUAAUUAUUAGUGUUUUCAUUACACAUUCUGUGAACAACAGGUAUUUACUUUGCAAGUAGGAAAGAUGUGUGUGUGUGUGUGUUGAUCCUUUCAUUAGAAAGGGAGGAGUGUACCUGAAAGUAAAUGCAAUGUAUGGUUUAAGUCUUUUACAUUCUAUAUGACAAAUAUGUUAUAGGCUAUAGCUGUCCUUUUAUAGCACAACCAAAAAACACCAAUAAUAACACCAUAUUUCUAUAAUUGCUGUAGGGUGAUAUAAUGGUCAUCUAUUGAGGACUGCUUUUUUGUGGUUAUAGGUUUGAAAAGGAAAAGGAAACAUGCCGUUUAAUACCGUAACAUUGUGUGCAUGCUCUUGUUCUAAUUACAUCAGAAGUCUUAAUUUGCACUUGGUCGUAAUUAUGCACCUCUCCCAUGGUUUAUUUUGGUUUCAAUCAUUCUGUUUAUGUUCUCUCUUCUGACCAUAAUUACUAUUA